rnacentral:lncRNA from 1 species
ACCAUAUGAAAGUUCCCAGGCUAGGGGUCAAAUAUCAUGCAAAGCUUCCAAUUGACGAGUAGAGUGGGGCAGGCAGAGUGAUGGCCUUGAAGAGGUCCAUGUCCUAAUGGCUGGAACCUGUGAAUUUGUUACCUUCCAGAUCAAAGAAACUUUGGAUAUAGGAUUAAGUGAAGGAUCUUGAGAUAGGGAGAUUAUCCUAAACUAUCAGAGUGGGUCCAAGGUGAUCACGAGGGUCCUUAUGAGAGGGAGGAAUGGGGCAGAGUUGGAGAAGGAGGGUGACAAAGGAAGCAGAGGAGGUCUGAGUGAUUCAGGGUCAUGACCGAGGAAUGGAGGUGGCCCCAGAAUCUGGAAAAGGAGAGAAAGUGGAUUCUCUUCCAGAGCCUCUGGAAGGAAUGCAGCUCUGACCUGUUUUGGACUCUGACCUCUAGAACUGUGUUUUUUCCAACCACUGAGGGUGUGGUCAUUUACUACAGCAGCAAUAGAAAAUUAAUGCAGAGAGUUUAUAAGUUGAUUUGCUCUCCCAUUCUCCAAUAAAUGCUACAGUCUCAGUAAAAACAUAAGAUGGAAAUUAUAGAAGAAAAAAGCCCAAAGACACAGGGGCACCAGCAAGUUCUCAGAUACACAGCUUAAGAAGCACACUUUAAGGAGGCAUCUGCAGACACAGUUCCUCUGUCAUGUGUCACACUUUGUGAUUUUUAAACCCGGGUCACCAGGGUACAGACCAUUCUUAUGAACAAAGCUUAGGAGACACCACACAAGAAGAGGUGAUGGGGAAAAGUUCUAAGGAAAACCUGACAUGUGAUUCUACAACUUUACCAAGAAAUAAAACCCUAAGUGUUUUUUUUCUGAACAUCCUUGGGGCUAGGGGAGAGUUUGCAGAUAUGCAGUCAUCCUGAUGGCCAAGCACCCAGGCAGGAGCUGACCGGGUGCUAGGGACUGAAUGUUUGUGCCCCUUCAAAUGUAUACGCAGAGGCCCUAACCCCCAAGGUGGUGCUAUUUGGAGGUGGGGCCACAGGAGGUAAUUAGGUUUCAAUAAGAUCAUGAGGGCAGGAUCCCCCAAUCACUGGAUUAGUGUCCUUCUAAGAAGAGAAAGAGAGAAAAACUCAGUGAAAGGCAGGGUCUCCAAGCCAGGGGCAAUCAGCUGGCACCCUGAUCUUAGACUUCUGGAGAAAUAAAUCCCUGUUGUUUAAAGCCACCCUGUUUGGGGUACUUCACUGCAGCAGCCCCAGCUGCGAUCGGAAGCCCUGCAAGAGGUGUGGAGGGAAAAGCUGGAAGUCAUUAAACUGAGGUGUGUGAGGGUAGCCUUAGCAGCAACUCCAAGGUGCCCCAGUGAGGGGUACUUGAGCCCCAGAUAUCAAGAAACAAUAAAAGAGGAGUGUGGUAGUCCAGGCAGGAAAUACCUGGUUUUUAAUUAAAGUAGAAGCCAAGGAGAGAGAGGAAUGAUUUGAGAAAAGCAUCAUGUCAGAGACUACCCUCUGACUAGAGAUGUGGAGAAAAAUGUAAUACACUUUUUUAAAAAAAAAAAAAAAUCCCCUGCAACUUCAUGAGUGGAGACUCUGCAAUAAGCACGAUUCAGAAAGGGGAGAUAAAUGGCUGUGGCAUUUCAGUUGUGAUGGAAUAUUUAGCUCCAAAUGUCUUCCACGAUGACAGGACAUAAUCUAUGAAACUCGGUGAAAGGCAAUUUGAGAGGAAGACAAGUAAAUUUGUCUCUCAUUUAUAUGCAUGCUGCAGCUGAGCUCAAGGAAAAGGGUAAUGUGUCUAAGUGUGCAGAUGUUAACUAGAACCUGGGACUGAGCUCUGCCACUCCUUCCAGGAGCAACGGGAAGGAGGGGUGGGGAGGGGCUGGGAGCAUCUAUGGAACAGAAAUCGUAGCGAAGAGCGCCUUUUAUGGGCAGAUUUUGAACUGUUUACAACACUUACGUCAUGGAACUCUGUGGAAUAUUGUCACCACCGUUUACAAAACGCAGCUGCCAGCCGGCCACAUGGCUAACACGUGUCCCUCACAGUUACUAGACGCUUAUCCGUCUCCUCAUCUCAGCAUCCCACAUCCUCUUCACAUCCACAUGGUCACCGGUGGCACCUGUCACUUCUUUCUGUGUCCUCCUGGUCCCAUCCAACAUGCACAUUCACUACCUGUCUAUCAGCUGCUCCUCCCCAGAAGUCUGGCUAAAAGUCCAGUGAUAUUAUUUCACGCAGUCUCUCCACAUUUAUGAAUGCACUCGUUGACAUAUUCCAGCAAGCACAAGAUGGGCAAACCAGGCACUACUUGGAAAAUCAGAAUCCUCACACUACUUCUACCAAACCCUGCAUUUAUAACAUUACACGUGUAUAUCUCUGAGGCUCCCCUGGUGCUCAGAGGCAGAUCCUCAUGACAGAGAGAAAGGACACAUUUCAGCAAUGUCUCCAGGGUGGCCUAUCUCUUUUUUUGUGAGUCUGUCUUUGAUUUGAUGCCAAGAAGAGCAAAAAAUUGCCAUUUUCUCUGAAUGUUUCCCCCAGGCUUAGUCUGCCUUUCUGUUUGCAAUGGAUUUUAUUUCUCCUACUAGAGAAAAAUGAGAUAUUCAAAUAUACUACUUAUUAAAGAAUACAUCUACUUCUUGGAAGGUAUGCAUAAGGUCGCAGCCUAUUAAAUCAGCUUACAUAAAGAUAAGUAAGGUCCUGUUGGUGACGUGUCAUGGGUUGGGAGUUAGUUCGUGGACUCAGUACUCCACCCCACCUGCUAGCCCUUGAAAAGGUUUAAGGUAAGUGUUGAAGAGCACGCACUUGGAUGUUCUGAUGCUCUGGGUUUGAAUUUCGGCUCUAAUUCCCACCAGCUGGGUGGCCUGUCCAAGUGACUAAACUUUCCUAUAUCUCAAUUUCCCCAUCUGUCCAGUCAACGAUAACAGUAUUUUGACUCUCAGUUGGAAAACCUGAAGUCCUCUAGUUGGUCAACCUGAACUUCAACACACAAUGAUAAGGGGAGUUGAUGGGUGUAUCCCCCUCAAAUAUAAAGGGACACACGCUAACUGUGUGAGUCUAAUGGGUGUUAUACAUCGUGUGAGGGAGAUGGGCUCCAGGACACUAGAUGUGGUGAGUGGGGGAGUGGAGAAGGUGCAGUGCCCCCUUGAGGGGCCUCUGCAAAGGGCAUCCACGAAGCCCUGGACAGAGGAUGGGAUAGGAGCAGAGGGACCACAGAAGAAGCACAGAGAGGGCCAGAAACCAAGUGUGGGGCUCUCCCCUCAACUCCUCAGGCUGCCAGGGAGUUGAAACGGGCACACAGGAAGCUUAGGUCACCUUCAGAGGCACUGUACCAGUGCUUAGCCAGCAAAACAUGAGAGAUGAGAAGUUAGUCCACUGAGAAGACACACCAAACAAGCAUGAUGGUUCAUCCAAGCUGACUGACCAUGGAGGCCCCGGGCUUUGUACUGGAAGGGGAUAAUGAGGGGGACAGUCUUUCCUGGAGCAAGUGCACCCAUCUCCAGGGCCCCCGCAGUUUUCCUGUGUAUUCAUUUUAGAUAGUUGUCACUUGGGUUGCUUUGGGAAUAUAUAGUCUUACUUUUAAAUUCUCUUGGAAGAAACACCAAACAGCUUGGAUUUUAGUAGUGAUUUGAUUUGAAAAAAAGAAAAAAAAACUUCAGAUUAUGAAGAAAUAUGAACCCAGUUAUGUCAUGUCAUGAUUUCAUUUUAAAGUCUUGUUAUUUUUAUUAACAGAUUGACUGUUUUAUUAGCAGCUUUAUCACCAGAUGAAUAUUAAUUUCCUGUAUCUAUUGCCCAUGUUUCUAACUUCUCAAGUUUUUGAAUCAUGAAAGAAUGGGCAUCAUUAUAAGAGCUUUUUACUGGAAAAUGAAUGAAUGCAUAGACAUUAACUCUCAGAGCAUGUGUCACCUCUAACAAUGUACACAUGUAUCCAACUGAAGUAUUUCUGUAAAAUAGGAAACUAGUCAACUAAUUCUGUGAUUAGAAGCUGCAAAAUGCCUCUAAAAUAACUGUUAACACACAAGGGUCAAUAGAUGCACCCACAUUAAAAUAUAAGUUAAGUAUAACAAUCCAUUACAUGUAAUACAUAGAUUUUAGUUAAAUAUUAAUGGCAAUGCUUAUAUAAAUUUCAAAUUUACUGAUCUUAGCUUUUAUCAAAUCAGUAAUCAAAACAGUCACAUACUGCACCAGAAAGACAACUAAAAUGUAUAAAAUCAGAAAAUUACCCUUCCUAACUGUUUUCUCCUUGCAACAUGCUCAUUUGGAAUAAUAAGAAAAAAAAAAUCUUAAAAUCCGAAAAAUUUCUUAACAAUGCCCACAACAAAGUCUGUAUUAAUUAGUGUCCAUAACAUUCAUCAAACUGUGAGAUUAUGAUUUUAGUAAACAGAGAAAGCAAGUUAAUUUUUAAAAUCAUGCAGAAAGUAACAUAUGACUUUUGAAUGAACUUUUUUUUUAUUAAUCAGCAUUUCUUCACACUCAAUACAAGUUUAAAGAAGCAUGUGUGAAUGCUUACAAAUUUCUUUAACGCUUAUGGUGUAAUAGGGCUAAUUCUAUUGCUCCUGA